AGCGAACGCUGGCGGUAGGCCUAACACAUGCAAGUCGAACGGCAGCACAGUAAGAGCUUGCUCUUACGGGUGGCGAGUGGCGGACGGGUGAGGAAUAUAUCGGAAUCUACUUUUUCGUGGGGGUUCACGUAGGGAAACUUACGCUAAUACCGCAUACGCCCUACGGGUGAAAGCAGGGGAUCUUUGGACCUUGUGCGUGUGGACGGGCCGGUGGUGGAUUAGCUAGUUGGCGGGGUAGUGGCCUACCAAGGCUAUGAUGGGUAGCGGGUCUGAGAGGGUGACAGGGAAAAUUGGGACUGAGAGACGGCACAGACUACUACGGGAGGCAGCAGUGGGGAAUAUUGCAAAAUGGGAGGAAGCCUGAUGCAGCAACGCCGCGUGCGGGAUGACGGCUUUCGGGUUGUAAACCGCUUUCGCCUGUGACGAAGCGUGAGUGACGGUAAUGGGUAAAGAAGCACCGGCUAACUACGUG
rnacentral:rRNA from 1 species